rnacentral:piRNA from 1 species
UGGCACAUGCGCAGAUUAUUUGU